UGGUCUGGUUUUGCUGUUUGAAGUAUAUAGUUCCGCUGAGAAAGCCCUGAAGAUUCCCAAAGCAAUGAUGUAAAAAUGAAGGUAUGAACAUAUGUGAAGAUGCACUAUUAUGUGGACUUGCAGCACCUGUGGCCUGAUGGUUGCUCCUCACUUAAUGCCAAGAUAUGGUACUAGUUACGUGCCUGUGUCCCCACGGUCCUGACUCCUCAGCUCAUGCUUCGAGCAUUCGAUGGGCUGCAGUCAGUGACCUGAAGGCUGCUGCGGAGGUGCCCAGCAAUGCUGUGGGUCCUCUCUG